UAUGGCCAUAUCAUAUUGAAACAGUGGUUCCCAUACAAUCACCAAAGUCAAGCAGCAUCAAGCCUGGUCAGUAGCUAGAUGGUUGACCACUUGGGAAAACCUGGU